GAUUAAUAAUCACCUUUCUAUUGCAGUACAUCAUAGCUUUCUUUUGUUGUCUUUGUACAUUAUAAUAUGUACAGUUCUCAAUUUUUCAUCAGCAACUAACAUAAAUUCUUCCUACCUGAUGUCAAAGAAAUUCAGUUGCUGUGUGAGCUGGAGAAGGUGGAAAAACUUCCUGUUAGCUCACAAGAGAGACAGAUGAGUCAUUAGGGCACAAGCUGUUCUGUCUUUUAGGACAUAAUUCUCUUAUCAAUUCAUUACACAUUGUUCAUACAAAACAAACAGUGUCCCCAGAAUAAGUCUUAUUUUAUGUUAAAGCUCUUCGCGCAGAUGGUGUUUGACAGGCUAUCUGACGAGACAGCCAUACUAAUGGGAUGCCAGCUCUGGAAUUCCUGUUGCUUGGGAAAGAGAACUCUGUAACAAUCAGAGUUCGAUGUUGCUCCGGGCGUUCUCUUUGUAGAUGAUAAAUGCUACUACACAACUGUUUGCCCCAUGCGGAGAUGCACAGCUGUGCUACACCAGAAAAGCAGCAUAUUUCUACAGUGCUAUUUCAGUAGAUUGUGCUGCACACUUUCGCAACUUCCAUGUCAAACCAGCAGAGGGUACUCUUAAGCUUCCAAGAAGAUGUUAAAUUGCUUCAUGAGGCCAAAACGUCAAACUGGGUACCGAGGGAAGGGGACAGAAAUGUCCCCUCUUUAAUGACAAUAUAUGAGCCUGAUCACAGGGGAGUCCUUGCAAAUGAGAAGGACCAAAUGUUAACGAUGCCAGGAAUUUGGAUAAUGCUGGUAAAUGCAUCUCAGGACCUGCAGGUGCCAAAUGCCUUUGAGAAGCGCUCUUCUCCCAAAGGGCAGGGCUGGGGGAGCUGGAGAUCCCUUGGUAUGGAGGUAGUCUGCAGGCGGUGCCUCACAGAGGUAUGA
ensembl:lncRNA